rnacentral:rRNA from 1 species
UACAGAGGUGCCAAGCGUUAGGCGGAAUCACUGGGCUUAAAGCGCGUGUAGGUGGGUCGUUAAGUGUCCGCGUGAAAUCCCACAGCUCAACUGUGGAACUGCUUGGUAUACUGCUUGUCUUGAGCCACUUAGGGGCUACCGGAACAAAUGGUGGAGCGGUGAAAUGCGUAGAUAUCAUUUGGAACGCCAAUGGUGAAAACAGGUAGCUGGGAGUGUGCUGACGCUGAGACACGAAAGCCAGGGGAGCGAACGGG